ensembl:piRNA 21ur-12515 ncRNA
UAAUAUUUGUAUAACAAUCAC